AAUCAACGCUGGCGGCGUGCCUAACACAUGCAAGUCGAACGCGAAAGUCCCGCAAGGGAUUAGUAGAGUGGCAAACGGGUGAGUAACACGUGGGUGACCUGCCUUCGAGUGGGGGAUAACGUCCCGAAAGGGACGCUAAUACCGCAUGACAUCCUGCCUUUGAAGAGGUGGAGCUUAAAGCCGGGGAUCGCAAGACCUGGCGCUUGAAGAGGGGCCCGCGCCUGAUUAGCUAGUUGGUGAGGUAACGGCUCACCAAGGCAUCGAUCAGUAUCCGGCCUGAGAGGGCGGACGGACACACUGGGACUGAGACACGGCCCAGACUCCUACGGGAGGCAGCAGUGGGGAA
rnacentral:rRNA from 1 species